rnacentral:snoRNA from 1 species
CCUCUAUUUUCUGGCAUACAUGUAUUUGCUAAGAACUUGUGUAUGUAAUGUACGGAGCUAGAACAAAGCCAGUGCUAUGUCUUCAGUACCAGUGUGUGUGUGUUAUCAUCUGCUGGUCCUAUCCUCAAAUUGCUGGUACACGU